rnacentral:rRNA from 1 species
GACGAACGCUGGUGGCGUGCUUAACACAUGCAAGUCGAGAGAGGAUGUUCCUUCGGGAACGGAUUAGCGGCGGACGGGUGAGUAACACGUGGGUAACCUGCCUCGUAGAGGGGAAUAGCCUCUCGAAAGGAAGAUUAAUGCCCCAUAAGAUUGUAGUACCGCAUGGUAUAGCAAUUAAAGGAGUAAUCCGCUAUGAGGUGGAACCGCGUCGCAUUGGCUAGUGGGUGAGGUAACGGCUCACCAAGGUGACGAUGCGGAGCCGACCUGAGAGGGGAAACGGCCAAGUGUGGACUUAGACGCUGCUCAGACUCCAACGGGUGACAUAAGUGGGGAAAAUUGAACAAUGAGGGCAACCCUGAUGCAGCAACGCCGUGAGAGUGAUGACGGACUUCGGAUUGGAAAACUCUGUCCUCAUGGACGAUAAUGACGGAACCUGAGGAGGAGGCCACGGCUAACUACGUGCCAGCCGCCGCCGUAA